CCUUCUCUUGGCCCACACUGAAUCCCGACAGCAUGUUGAAGAGGUUAUCCAUCGGCGAGCGAACGUUCUCCAUCGUUAUAUAGUCGGCCGGUUGAUUAAUCCAAUGAGUGCAGCGAAGAAUCAUGGACCUAAUGUUUAGUACCAUUUUAAUCAGCGAGCUCGACGAUUGUGAAAAUGCAGAGAAUACUUUCUUAAAAUUUACACUUAAAGUCGUCAAAACAUGGACAUCGAAGAAUUUUACUUAUAUAAAUUUAUAAUCUUUAGUAUUUUAUUAAAAUUUACUAUAAUUUGAGUAAAAUUUAUUUAAACUUUACUAUAUUUAUUUAAAGUUUACCUAAAUUAUAAUAAGGUUUUUUUUAAUAUCCACGUUGUCCUACAGUUACCAUGAUUUUAAGAAUAAAUUUUAAGAGAUAAUUCUCUCCGUACAUGUGUUGAAAAUGACCGGUAUAUUUUUAAUAGAAAUGUUUGCUUGAAUGUUUAGCAUUUAUUGAAAGUUUUUACGACCAAUUGUUCAUUCGUGAUGUGAGAUGUCGUGUUGAUUUCGAAACAGUCGACCAGUGACUGUAGAAAAGUUAUAAUCGGUUGCACAAGUGUCUGCGACAGUUUUUAACUUAGCGUAAGUAAGCAGCAUGAACAGUGAGCGAAGUAAAGAUGACACCCUACCACGCGCGCCUAUCACCGAGACGCACCGUGUCAAAAAUAAAUAAAUACACUUAGCAAACUCCAUUAUAAUUCUACGUUAUCAAUUCGUUAUAAACUUAAAUUUCUAACGCUCCGUACGAAUUAUAUAGACUUCUUCGAUAUGGAUAUUAAGUUUUGCAUUAAGUUCAAAAACUAAUCAUAAGCAUUCAUAUGCAUUAAUGAACUCUCUUGUUUAUUAACACUCUCUUUCCUAAUGUGUGCGAUCUAUCAGGCGAUGAACAGAAAUAUUUCUUUUCGCAUUAAAAAUGCAAAAUAGCUCAAAA
rnacentral:lncRNA from 13 species